CAGAUGGAGAUCCAAUUUAUCGGUUGGUGGAAGAAGAUUCAUCGAUUACUUCAAGAGUCUAUCGGGAUUUGAGUGACCAGGAUGGCGGUUCCAAAAAGUUCCGUCGAUGGCUCAAAGUUUCGUGGAGCAAAGGAUCAACGUUUGCUGCUCUCAUGCUACUGGAUUCGAAGAGGCGAUGUUGGGCGAGUUAAUCAUCGCAUUUGAACCCGAAGUGUAAGGUUCAGAUGCAAGACCAAAUUCGACGAAGCUUGCAAUAAAGGCCGAAGAGAGCACAGCGAAAAAGGAACCGUUAUAUCAUUUUCAAGAAUACACCAUAUUUUUUUCCUAGAAAAGUUUAGAAUAAAACCGCUUCCAAAAGAGUGUAUAAAAUGUUUUUCUUUUGA